AGGUGAGCAGAAAAACAAAAAACAAGCAACAUUUCAACACAGACUUCAGAUCAUAACUCCCCGGGCCAGCCAUCACUCCAAUGAGAAAAACUCAACCUACAACAACAACAACAACAAAAAAGGUCACAAGAUUCAGGAAUGGUCCCAAGGAUGAUGGAGCCACACUUUAUUUUGUCGUUGCACAAACUCAAAAAGGCUCUUCUGGUAACUCGGGGGGUGACAAAAAAAAACUUUUUUUGCGUCAAGCAAGACUUGCGCUACUUUGCUCGGCUGCAGCCGAGCGAGCUAUGUCACUGUGUCUCGAGCCAAACUAUUUCCCGAAGUUAUUCUCUUUUAAAGACCUAAUCUAAUAAAAUCUAAAGUGUCCCUAGAUUUAAAGACGAAAACAAUGUGUAACUACUGUGCUGCAGUGCCAUCUAGUGGCACGAUGUUGAACAGCAGGAUUCUUUCAAACAGCACUAGCAAGCUGUUUAAGAGGGUCUCUGGACCCAACAGCUGGGAUAGGUUGAAAACCAACACUAGGGGUAUAUGAUGCUAUGUUUUAGUUAGUAUAGUUAACUGGGGAAAAGGACAUCUUGUCUGUGUAGCGUCUGAGGCUGUCUCUGCAGGGGUUCAGGUAAUCUGAUUAAUUCCCUGUCUCUAUUAAUACUAGUGGCACCUAUUGUAUCUAAACAAUAAAGCUUAAUGCAGAAUGUAAUGUGGGUUAUCAAUCAAUCAAUCAAUCAAUCAAUCAAUGGUAAACAUUGUUAUUUUUUUUUUUAAUAUACUUCCCAUUCUCUUUAGUACUUUGUUCUGUAAUGUAGUUACAUGAUUAUCUUUCUGUGCAAAAGCCGACAGCAUUCAUUGUGAUGCGGUGAUAAUUAAAUCAUAUUCAGCCCCUGAUUCACACGGUAUUAUGAGGGUGCUUAUCGUGUGCUUUCUCCUCUUGAAUGGCUUCCAUUAACAAGUGUGUUGAACAUCCGAAAUGUUGAAUGAUCUCAAAUAAAAAUCCAAUGUUUAGCUCCCA